CAGUAGCCGCGGUAACACGUAGGUGGCAAGCGUUGUCCGGAAUUAUCGGGCGUAAAGGGCUCGCAGGCGGUUUCUUAAGUCUGAUGUGAAAGCCCCCGGCUCGACCGGGGAGGGUCAUUGGAAACUGGGAAACUUGAGUGCAGAAGAGGAGAGUGGAAUUCCACGUGUAGCGGUGAAAUGCGUAGAGAUGUGGAGGAACACCAGUGGCGAAGGCGACUCUCUGGUCUGUAACCGACGCUGAGGAGCGAAAGCGUGGGGAGCGAACAGGAUUAGAUACCCGCGUAGUCCCUGUCUCUUAUAC
rnacentral:rRNA from 1 species